AAGCAGGGCCUAGUUACAAUGUAGCUGUGAGGUGCUGCGUUGUUUUUGCCCAUGCUCAAAACAGAACUGUUUCCUUUCUGGCCCUGCCGGCCCAGGUGCCGUAGCCGGCAGGGAUGCAGGGUCUCAUACAC